ACCCAUAAUUGGCCCGCUUGUACUAUCCAGAUUGUCCAGGCAUAACUAUCAGAUAGAUUGAAAUUUGUUUACCUAUUUUAAGCUCAAAUUAAUAUCAGCACACGAACUCUUUAAUAACUUAAUAAACUAACAAAUUUCAAGGCGAGUUGUAAUUAAAUUUAAAGGAUCCCAACCUGUCUUAUUUUACCAAACCAUAACUAUUUCUGAUUAACAUGCUACUAUUAAAUUUUUGAUUCCACGAGCUAACAUUACUAGGCAUAAUACUCAUAAUUAACUUUAAUGAUUCAUAAACUUAUAACUAAUUUCAGAAUACUAGAACUAACAUGAAGAAGACAAACUAAACGGAGGCUAACAUUAUCAAUUCAUUAUAGCCCCAAACAAACAAGGAUUUGAACUACACUAUACCAUACUAAUAUUGAGAAAUAGAUGAACAAUUCUAAGUUUAAAAGUCCAGACGAUCCAGAUUAAUCUAAUUAUACAGUCUAGGGAUUAUGUAAAUACAAAUCGAAAUUAACUUACAAAAAUGCAUAUCAAUUACUAUCUACUCAGAUACUGCUACAUAACAGUUUCAAACAAACACAUUUCAAGAAGCAAACGGACGAACACUUUAUUUCAUCUUUUCACCUCAAAGCUACAUCAAAUCAGGUUCGAAUGUGUAUCUGGAUGAUAGAAACAGAAGAAAAAGGAACGAUCAGCAAUAACAGUAACUAAUGCAGCAACAGCAAGACAAUAACAACCAACAACUUGAAAAUGACCCGAGAUAGCAGCAGAAGGACCAAAAUGUGGCCCAGGAAUGAAAUAGAAAAGUAAACUUAACCCACAGCAAAUACCAGUAGCCAAACACACAGGUAGCACCUUAAGAAAAUAGUAAAACUUCCAGAAAUACCAACAGUAACACAAACACCCGUAAUAAGACCAAAGAACUUGAGUUUAAACCAGAGAUAGACCAAUAGACUUCAGCAGUAUAUUCAGCAAGCAAUAGGAAGUAGGAAUCAAUGUUUACGACUCCAAAUUCAGUUUCCCCCUUUUUUCCAACUCUUAUGUUCUUUUUAAAUGGAUUCCUUUUUUUCUUAACUCUCAAUUUUCAGAUUGUUCCCCCCUUUCAAAACUAAAACUGAUCUUUUAUACUAAAACUUAAACCCCGUUUUAGUACCUAAGUGGACAACCCACUAAUAUUUUUUAAUUCCUUAGUGUCCUCUCCACUAGAUCUUGUUAUUAACUUUAUUCAAUCCCUUUUCUUAGUGCACAUUUCAACCCCCUUAAAUCACUCCUGGAUCCCCAUUAUUCAAUACUUUAGAGAUAUUUAACUACCCGACUAUCAGAUUCACUAACAUUAAACAAAUCCUUCACUGUUUUGUUCCUAAAUCACCCCUGAAAUCCCUUGAAACUACUGCCUUAGCCCAAUCUGUUCAAACUUAAUAAUUAUCUAAAACUAAUUUAAUUAACAGCUAUAACAAAUUCUUAAACGAUUUCUGAUUCAACUUAAACUAAAAGAAUCUGAAAUUAAAACUCAACCAGGCUACAUCUAAAUCACAACCUAUCACAUUAAAUUAUCAAAGCCAUGAUUGACAGAACUACAAGGAGCAAAAAUCCAAAAUAUGAACAAAAUAUAAUACAAAUAUACUAGAAUAGCCAUAAUUCAUACAAUUACUAUUACUACUGUCAGGGUUUGAAUCAUUCACAUCUAAAAGACUAAUUGACAAUAUUUAAUUAAUCGAUCACACAUAAUUGGUAACACAUAAGCAGAAUCAAAGAUACAAACAUGCACACGUUAUUUCAGUGACAUUUGGCAGAAACAGUGAGUUGUGACACAAAUAACUGAUCGGCGACAUUAAUAGUAUCGACUUUAUGAUCUUACAACAACACACAAUCAGAUAGCAAGCAAAUAGAAUAAAAAUAGGAUAAUUGGGUGAUUCAUGUGGUUUUGGAUAGAAUAAGGCACUUAUGAGACUUAACUGUUCAACGACAUUAUUCAUCGAACGCAUAGUUUAUCAUACAUACUUUAACAAUGAUCAGAAGAAAAUUUUGACCAAAUAAAAGGUCAUACGGAGAAGAAACAGAAAAGCAGUCGAUAAAAUAAAAAAUAAUACAACUAAACUAAACAAAUAUUUACAACAAAUAACAACAAAGAAAAUAGAAAAAGAAAAUAGAAAAAGAAAAUACCUCAGAAACUUUCAGAAACAAACAACCUUGGCUUGAAUCCAAACUCGAACUAUUUGAGGUUGUACGGACCUUAAUCGGGGUGUUCUCAAUUGAGAGCACCUAGAUUAAGGUCUAUUAGACCUCAAUCUCCUAUUGAUUUUUAACCGAACCUCAAUUUUGGAUUUCUAGGGUUCACGCGGAUGAUUUGGGAAUUUGGGUUUUCUGGUUGGAUUCGAUUCAAAUCAAUGAUGAUUUGGUGAUUAGGAAGGUUAGGGGGUGCCGUGGUGUGAAUUUGGAAAGGAUUGGGGGUAAGUUUCCAUUUGGCUCGAAUCUUCAAGUAAAGAUUUGAGAUGCUCUGAAAAGAUUCGAGCAAAAUGGUUUGCAGCUCCAUGUUUGGGGUGGCUAGACGGUCACAGGGUGUUAGUUUGGGAUUCAUUGGUCUGGGUCUGGUUUUGACUCAGAUCUUCAAAUAAAGAUUCGAGAUAUUUGGGGAGGAUUCGAAGAGAAAGGGUUAUGAAUUCAUGGAGGGGAUGGUCUGGGGAUUCAGGUGUGUUAAUUUGGAGGUGGACGGAGUUCAGACCGCCGGGAUUAAUGGUGGAGUAUAAGGGGGAGGUGCUAAGGUUUACUGAGGGAGGGGUCUGUCUCUGAGAGAGACGAUGAACAGGGAGGUCCGGUU
rnacentral:lncRNA from 1 species